CCUACGGGUGGCUGCAGUGAGGAAUAUUGGUCAAUGGACGAGAGUCUGAACCAGCCAAGUAGCGUGAAGGAUGACUGCCCUAUGGGUUGUAAACUUCUUUUAUAUGGGAAUAAAAUGUUCCACGUGUGGGAUUUUGUAUGUACCAUAUGAAUAAGGAUCGGCUAACUCCGUGCCAGCAGCCGCGGUAAUACGGAGGAUCCGAGCGUUAUCCGGAUUUAUUGGGUUUAAAGGGAGCGUAGGUGGAUUGUUAAGUCAGUUGUGAAAGUUUGCGGCUAAACCGUAAAAUUGCAGUUGAAACUGGCAGUCUUGAGUACAGUAGAGGUGGGCGGAAGUCGUGGUGUAGCGGUGAAAUGCUGAGAUAUCACGAAGAACUCCGAUUGCGAAGGCAGUUCACUGGACUGCAACUGACACUGAGGCUCGAAAGUGUGGGUAUCAAACAGGAUUAGAUACCCUUGUAGUC
rnacentral:rRNA from 1 species